UACGUAGGGGGCAAGCGUUAUCCGGAUUUACUGGGUGUAAAGGGAGCGUAGGUGGUUCGGUAAGUCAGAUGUGAAAGCCCGGGGCUCAACCCCGGGACUGCAUUUGAAACUAUCGUACUAGAGUGCAGGAGAGGUAAGUGGAAUUCCUAGUGUAGCGGUGAAAUGCGUAGAUAUUAGGAGGAACACCAGUGGCGAAGGCGGCUUACUGGACUGUAACUGACACUGAGGCUCGAAAGCGUGGGGAGCAAACAGG
rnacentral:rRNA from 1 species